CGGGGGGGGCAAGCGUUGUUCGGAAUUACUGGGCGUAAAGGGCUCGUAGGCGGCCAACUAAGUCGGAUGUGAAAUCCCCAGGCUCAACCUGGGAACUGCAUCCGAUACUGGAUGGCUUGAAUUCGGGAGAGGGAUGCAGAAUUCCAGGUGUAGCGGUGAAAUGCGUAGAUAUCUGGAGGAAUACCGGUGGCGAAGGCGGCAUCCUGGACCGACAUUGACGCUGAGGAGCGAAAGCUAGGGGAGCAAACGGGAUUAGAUACCCCGGUAGUCCUAGCCCUAAACGAUGAAUGCUUGGUGUAACGGGUAUCGAUCCCUGUUGUGCCGAAGCUAACGCAUUAAGCAUUCCGCCUGGGGAGUACGGUCGCAAGGCUG
rnacentral:rRNA from 1 species